UCCCCCCUCCCUCUGACCCUCUCCCCCCUCCCUCUGACCCUCUCCCCCCUCCCUCUGACCCUCUCCCUCUGACCCUCUCCCCUCUCCCUCUGACCCUCUCCCCCCUCCCUCUGACCCUCUCCCUCUGACCCUCUCCCCUCUCCCUCUGACCCUGGACAACGAGAUCGCCACCUACAGGAAGCUACUGGAGGGAGAGGAGAUUAGAAUGAAUGACCACAUACGUUAUCAAGAUUACUAAAACCAAUCGACCAAUCCCAGUUCUUGCUUACACGCAGACAUUGAUUUGCCUUUGAAGACUCUGAAGCCCCUCCCAUUAGAUGCCGGUGGCCCCCCAACCAGCCCCAGGAAGCGUCUGCUGAUCAGAAUUGACGUGAAGGCGGGCAGGGUCAUGUCCAAGAGCUUACACUACUCCGACAAUUAACCAAGCCCACCGUCACUCUGCUGUCGCUAUAGUAACACGGUGUUGUACCACUUUCUCUCUCUCUCUCUUUUCCAUCUAAAAACAUUGCUGAGUCUUUUGUUUUACAUUAAGGUCAUUGUUUAAUAAGCUACGGUGUUAAACUUACACACUUUGUUUUCAACUGCAGUUCGAAGACCAUGUGCGACAGUAACAGGAGCUCUUACAAAAUGUGUCCUGUGCUCUUUUUCAUUACGUUUGUGGUGGGAGAAUUUAUCUGUGCUCUCUUGUGCUCGUGUGACUGGGAAGGCCAUGUCCUCCAAAGCUUGAAUGUCACUGAACCAGGUCCAAAAUAAAAAGACAAAAUAUUAAGGAACCAAAUAUGUGUAUGGUUUGUUUAAGGAGUCUGUCUGUCACCCAAUACAACUCAGCCCUGAACGCAAGGAAUACAUGGGCCUAUUG